rnacentral:rRNA from 1 species
GACGAACGCUGGCGGCGUGCUUAACACAUGCAAGUCGAACGGAAAGGCCCUGCUUUUGUGGGGUGCUCGAGUGGCGAACGGGUGAGUAACACGUGAGUAACCUGCCCUUGACUUUGGGAUAACUUCAGGAAACUGGGGUUAAUACCGGAUAGGAGCUCCUGCUGCAUGGUGGGGGUUGGAAAGUUUCGGCGGUUGGGGAUGGACUCGCGGCUUAUCAGCUUGUUGGUGGGGUAGUGGCUUACCAAGGCUUUGACGGGUAGCCGGCCUGAGAGGGUGACCGGCCACAUUGGGACUGAGAUACGGCCCAGACUCCUACGGGAGGCAGCAGUGGGGAAUAUGGCACAAUGGGCGGAAGCCUGAUGCAGCAACGCCGCGUGCGGGAUGACGGCCUUCGGGUUGUAAACCGCUUUCGCCUGUGACGAAGCGUGAGUGACGGUAAUGGGUAAAGAAGCACCGGCUAACUACGU